GACGAACGCUGGCGGCGUGCUUAACACAUGCAAGUCGAACGGUAAGGCCCUUCGGGUACGACGAGUGGCGAACGGGUGAGUAACACGUGGUGAUCUGCCCUGCACUUCGGGAUAAGCCUGGGAAACUGGGUCUAAUACCGGAUAGGACCAUGGACUUCACGGUUUGUGGUGGAAAGCUUUUGCGGUGUGGGAUGGGCCCGCGGCCUAUCAGCUUGUUGGUGGGGUAAUGGCCUACCAAGGCGACGACGGGUAGCCGGCCUGAGAGGGUGUCCGGCCACACUGGGACUGAGAUACGGCCCAGACUCCUACGGGAGGCAGCAGUGGGGAAUAUUGCACAAUGGGCGCAAGCCUGAUGCAGCGACGCCGCGUGAGGGAUGACGGCCU
rnacentral:rRNA from 1 species